UCAAAGUAUCAAGCUUGGCUUGUCGUUGGGCCCUUUGUCACCUGGUGACAGGUUCAGAAGAUAAUGACCGGUGUCAUAAAGACUCUAUAUGCAACGAGCUUAUAACAGCACGCAUCUAGUAGUUAUAUGGCCCGGUUGUCACCUCUUUAUUUAUCAA
rnacentral:misc_RNA from 1 species